rnacentral:lncRNA from 1 species
GAAACUGUGAAUAAGAGGGGUGUUUUUGAAAGAAAAUUUAAAACAUAGGGUAAAAUCGCAAAAAAAAAUGACCACGUGGAAUGGACACGUCAGUAGUAAUGAUGACUCAGAACACGCUGUAUGGCAGAUGCACUGACACUGAUUCCACGUGGGAGGCCACACGGGCAAUCUGCGAGCCCGCAAAUCUAACACCCUCGAUCGCAUCCUGUGCGCACGGACAACCUAGAUGCAUUUUGCCUUCAGGCGCGAUCGGACGAUCAGAUUCAAUCCGAUCAUACGGUCCAAAUUUAUUUCCCGAAUAAGAGGGAUCCAACGGAUAGGAGAGGGCCACAUGCCUUGCAUAGACAUCCCAGAUCGACUCGCAGAGGAUAUUUAAAUAUCGCGUUCCAGGAAACCCUAACCCUAAACGCACUAGUCAUUGCUAGAGAAGAAAAAGAAGGGCACCGGAAAAGAAACUGACUACCUUCACUGCCACACCGGAGCCACCUUCGAUGCCAAACAGGUACUUUUUUUCCCUUCCCGCUCAGAAUUCAAUCCAAAAUCUCCCCAUGCCCAUAUCGAAGCCAAAAGGCCCACAAGAGAGCCAGAAAAUAUGAGUGAAGCUCGACCAAACCACUAUAGCCGAAAUUCAAAACCCUCUCUGAUGACCCCU